GACGACUUCCUCCGAGGGUAGAUGGGCCUGCUGGGAUACUCCCGGAUGACUAGGGAAGGCAGUGGGCGGGUUUCGGCGUUCCGGAGAACGCCGGGAAGGGGUCACAUCCAGGCGGUGGUUCCGGUUCCGGUGUAGGCGGUAGUUGAGUUGCCGUGGCAACGCGGUAGCCGGGAGGCUGGUUCCAGCGUCUGGGAUGGCGACGGGGCUGGAGCCGGUCCGGUCCGCCUUUCCCAGCCUAGAUUCGUGGAUUCCAGGUAAAUCAGAGACACAAGACAUGAACAGGAAUGUGUAGGAAGUGCGGGGAUGCCUUGUUGAAGAAGACCUGGUCUGGGGCACUCACGUUAGAGAACAGAUUAUUUCCCAAAUCACCUCACUUUUCCUCAGGCUUAUGUUGUAUGGAAUAGAGAGAAGAGCUCACAGACUUACCGAAGGCAGAGACGUGGGCCCGUGACAGGGAGUAAACUGUCCCUUCCCCAGUGUGUAACAGUGGCUUGGAAGCAUAGUUGUCUUUCUUAGUUAUCACACAUUAUUUAUUCAGUGGAGAACAGAGCUGCUGUUGAAGGUGACGAGUAAACCUGGAGCAGGAACAAUACAGAGCUUGUGUUCUUCAAACCUACAAUAAUGUUUUACUAUAUUUGGAAGAAUCUCUCCUUUCUACCCACCCCUCCGAAGGCAAAUUCACCAUGAAACCUAUGGUUAAAAACCUUACAAAUAGAGAAAUCACAAGUAGGCAGAGAGGCAGGCAGAGAGAGAGGAGGAAGCAGGCUCCCUGCUGAGCAGAAAGCCCGAUGUGGGGCUUGAACCCAGGACCUGGGAUCAUGACCUGAGCCGAAGGCAGCUGCUUAACCCACUGAGCCACCCAGGCGCCCCUGAAGGAAGCGGAUUCUCUUAAGAAGAAUUUCUGAGAAGCCUGGAUGCCACAGCAGCCCCUGAUUCUGUCCUGGGAUUUGUGAGGCCUGGGUUCUAGGGCUGACAUCGCUUAGACUUAAAAGUUCCUUCUCUUGGAGAUUUUCCACCCCUCCUAUCUUCCCCUUCCGGGGUUUGGGAAAAUUGUGUUUGUGACGUCUGCAAAAGGUAUUGUCUAUUCCAAGAUGUCUUUAUAUGAGGGCUGCAGGGUUUUAGGAAAGGUAUUUGUACUCCAUUCUGCUCCCAAACAGUUACCCCCCAGAUAAUACCAUCUUCCUUCUCGCAUGUAUGGCAUAUCAUGUGUUCUUGUACAUGAACUCACUUGAACCUUUCAUUAACUCCAGUGGUUCCCAAAUUAUGUUCUCUUUCCAGCAUUUGUUUAUAACAUCUUUUUGGCAGACUAGAGCCCUUUGGGUUCCUCUAUGUGUUUUUGUUGCCUUCAAAGCACUUUUUUUUUUCCCCUGCUGAAUCAUAGUAUCACCAGCAAGUCCUGCAGAAAAUCAAAUAUUCCUGAAUUAGCUUUGCCGCAUGUGUAUCUGGGGGAUACAGAUGUGAUUUGUAGACUCUGUGAAACUAAAAUGGCCACAGUUUCAGUCCAAAAUCCUUUGGCGGGGGGUAGGGAUCAACAUAGCUUUUCACUUCGGAAGUUUUGUGGUCCUUUGUCCCCAUGCUGCUUUUCUACAGGCCCAAACUCUGCUGUAGGCUUUUAAAAUCGGGCAUGGGCUGCGCGAUGCUUUAUUGAAAACUUCAUUUUAUUCAGAGGAAAAGAACCCAAAUCAUAACCUCCUCAAAGGUAAUAAGAAAUAAAUGGUAAUCAGGAACCAUGUGAAGACUUGAUUAAAAGUGAUAGAAUGAUUGUUGAUUUUUCCUCACUGUCUGUUUAAUGAAAUCUUUUAUGUUUUGCAUUAUGUGGGGUGUUGUUUGUUUGUUUGCCAGGAGGUAGUUUCCAGAGCACAAACUGUUACUGUAUUCCAGCAGCUUCUGAGAAGGUCCCUAGACCCUAGGGUGUGAAAAGCAAGCAGCCAGUGUUGCGUGUCAAACCUGUUAGGAGAUUUAACUGUUCGCAGAAGGUCUCCCUCUGAUGAUCACCCAGUGUUUGCAGCCAGAGGAACAUUUAGAAAAGUUUCAUUGUUUUCUUUUGAAUGAUUGCUAAGAUGUAUUUCCAAGGCCAUAAAUACUCUUGAGGAUGCAUCAGAAUUUCACUUUGUACUUCAGCCUUUGAGUCUGAAUCAUUUCAUGCUCUCAAUUAAAUCUUGCCAUCGUGGGGCUCCGUUGCUCCAGCCUUCUGCAACAAUCCAUCAUGGAAGGAAGGGAAAUCACCCCAGUUUGACAGAGGAGGAAGGGGCGGGGGGGGCUGCGGCAGGGGUUGGAAAUGGGUGGAGACUUUAACUGUUUUCCUUUACAGAGAAAAGUUAGAGAAUUUUUUUUUCCUUUAUGGCCAGAAAAAUCCCUUUUGUUAAUUCUAACUUUAUACUUUCUGAGAGUGUAGCCUACUGAGAUACAAUUAAUUGAUAUCAAAUUUCUGUAAGCUGGAGUUGGAGAGUUUUAAUAAAAGACUAAGUUAUAAACCAAUUAUACUCUGUAAAAGGAAAAAAAAGGAAGGGGAAGCGCUUUACAAAAAUUGGGUGACCAAGAGAAUUGUGUGUGAGAAGCCUUGAGGACACGGUGAACGUAUUUCAGGGCCUUCUCCCCACCCCGCACAGAUCUGCAGCCACACGGCCUUCUCUUCUGCGGGGACCUCUGUCUAGGAAGCACUAAGUUUCUGGUACAACCCCAUGGGGGAUGAGAGAGACUCCUGUGGGUUCGUCUCCUUUCAUCCCACGCAGCUGCUGCCCUGUGAUAGUUCACCCAUCCUGCUGGCCGGGGACACGGCCAAUAGUAUCUUUUUACUUGAAGGGACUUUUGCUCAUGUGCAAAAGUAAAACAUGUGUCUUUAAAGAUCAUGUGUCUUUCUAGAAACUCGGAGCACUUCCCGAGUGUCUGCCUUUCCCGGACAGGCCGGUAGGGCGCGCUGGUCUACUUGGGAAGCCAGGGCGGCGGGCGCCCGCAGGAGCCGUGGGUCCUCGUCCCCGCACAGCGUCUGGGAAGCCGUCCGCUUCCAGGCAGAGUCCCUCCGUCCUCCAAGGCCCCCUGUUGCUCUAGGGAAGGGCUAGCUUGCUGACUUCUCUAACAUGACAGUCACACGCAUGAGCCGUAAGCUCAAAAGGCUAACACUAGGGGCAGGAAGAAGCAGGGAGUGCCAGGUUACCCGGAGAGUCUACGAAGGA